UUGAGAGCCAUGUCUGAGUCUUAUAAAGGCUAUGGCUCCCCUUAGUGGACACUGUUAGUUUCUAUGUUGCAGCGAUACACUGCAUGCUUGUGCGUGAGUAUACCGUGACAGACCUCUGGAGGGUUAUUAUUUGUAGGGUCGUGUUUAUGCCUGUCUGAACGUUUUGUGAGGCCCAACCUCGCCUUCCCUUGACACUCCCUUUUCAUUGUUUUGGAAUGACUGCAAUGGGGGAGACGGUAGCAUUAAACCAGCCAUUGGUUGCCAGAAUAUGACCUGAAAUUAGACGAGUUGGCAUUACAAAAUAAAGGCCUAAAUUAUUUCGGGGUAACACGUCUGAAAUGUGUAAUUGUGUUUUUGGUUAAGGUGCGAGGCUUAAGGCUGAGGAUGAAGAGCCAUUUAUUUUAAGUUUUAUCUUCUCAGUUAAUCUUAUAUUAUGACAUACUGUAGCUUCACUUUUGCUGGAGAACUGUUCAUGGUCAACGAUGCUUUUAAUUUGAAAGUCAUGAGCGGAAUUCCCUCAAUCGUUAUUCUCGAUUUAACAGUUCUGACAAAUAACUGCAUCCUACCACCAAAAGUGGACGAUUCACUUUAUAGCAGCAGGGCUGGAAUAAGGAUAAUUGUGUGGAGUUGGAAAAGUUCUGUUAAAUAAGCCUACUUCAAGAAAAUAUUUAGUCCGGCGGUAAAAAGUUAGUUUACUUAUUAAUUAGUUUACUCUGAAAGCACAAGCUGUUGCAUUAUGGACCCCAGUAAGUUUGCGAGCGCUCCUCCAGCGGGAUGGGCUGAUGAGAAAUCCUCUAUGGGCCAUGUGCCCCCUCCGCCCUACCAGGAUCAGCCGCACCCGGGAUACCCUCAGCCCGGCCCGGAAUACUCACAGAACCAGGGCUAUGGACCCCCACCGCAGUAUGGCGGUGCACCCGGACAACAGCCGUACCCCAUGGGUCAGCCGUACCCCAUGGGUCAGCCGUACCCCAUGGGUCAGCAGUACCCAGGGCAUCAGGACUUGGUCACUGUCCAGCCCACAGUCUACGUGACUCAAGUCCCGCUGCCUAACCCUGUCAACGACUACUUGUGUUACUCCAUCUUCACCCUGGUGUGCUGCUGCCUGCCGCUGGGAAUCGCUGCCCUCAUCUACUCCAUCUCAGCCCGUGAAGCCAACCACACCGGGAAUCAGCUUGCGGCGGAGCGUAGCAGCAAGACGGCCAGGACACUGAACCACGUGGCCCUGGGUGUCGGCAUCGGGAUUGUCAUCCUCAUGAUUGUCUUCUCUGCGGUUGUAAAUAAUUAAUAAUUUCCAUUCUCAUUCUACAUCGGUAAUCAAACUCAACCAGGUACAUAACUGGUCAUCGGAAAGAGUUUUCUAUUGUUUUUUUAAAUGGGUAAACUUGAAGUCAUCCGACUGAAAGUUAUUGAUAAAAUAAUCAACCAUAGAUGGCAAUGUAAUCCAUUACUCUCCAACACUGUAGCGAGUAGCCACUACAACUUUCCAAAAAUGUAUAUUUCUUCAACAUUAUUUGUUUGAAAUAUUUUCAACUUUGAUGCCUUAAGAGUUCAGCCUUAGGUCAGUCUUGCUCCAACACACAUAUAGACGUUGACUCAAGUAUUAUCCGAAGAGUUUUAUAUUUUAUGUUUGAAUAGCAAAUGAUUAUAAUUAUACAAUUUGUAGUGUGUCAAAUCUUAUUUUGAAUUUUGUCCCAUUUUACCAUUGAAAGAUAUUUGUCUGAUUGUACGAUUGUCGAAAUAUUGCUGCCCUUUUAACAGAAUUGUAAAUCACCCGCUAACCCUCCUAAAGGUAUGCUAACAUAGUAUAAGAUUUUAAAAAACUAACCAAGGAUACUUUAAAAAUAGAAUUGUCUUUGUUUAGCUCAUGCUAAAUGAGUAAAAGAAGAAAGGUUGAGCCUUUGUGCAUCUAAUCUGAGAGUGCACACUACAAAGUCAUCUACGCUUUUUCCAGUUAGUUCUGAAUUGCACCAAAGCCCUCUGUUUAAUUACAGGAAUGCCCAGCUUCACACAAAAUCACGCUUGGCAACAGCGCAGCCAAUAUGGCUGACACAGCCAGUUGUUCCAUCAAUGGCUCUGGCUCUGUUUUAAAAACAUAGUGUGAUAUGUAUGGUGUUAUUAGUCAUGUAAAGACUAUGUUAUUUUCUUAACCAAAUUUGUAUACCACAUUUAUUUUAUAAAUAAAGUAUAUUGAGAGUAUAUUGUACUGUCUGGACUAUUUAUAGCCAUAGCCUCGGUCUAGCACUCUACAGAUCACACUCUUUCAGAGGUUUGUCUCUUUGGCCAGUGUUUCUCAAGUUAGAGGAUAGGAAACAAGUGGCUACCUGCCAGUUUCACGUAGACGUUAAGGUUUCAGCAGAGUACUGAAUUAAAAAAUAUAUAAAUAAUAGAUCAUUCAAAAAUAAGUCAGUGUAUUACAUGAUACAUGAUAUGUCAUGGCAAUUUGUAAUUUUUAUUUCCCAUUAAAAUAUGUUGUAAAUUUAUCAUAGGCAUGUACAUCCUUAUAGUUAACUGUAAUAAAUACUUACAAUAUAUACAAACACUCAGCCUAACUGUGCGUAAGCAGCAAACCUUUAUUACUCAGCAAAUGUUCUUAUCUGUACCUACAAUCAUGGCCGUAAUUUCCAUGUCCCCCCCCCAAUUUUCAAAAUCCCGUUUGUGUCCCCCCCCACUUUCAAAUUUGUUUAUUUAUUUAUUUAUUUAUUUUAACCGCAAGCCAUCAUCACCAGAGAGGAGCACGACACACAAGCUGUGUCUCAAUUCAGGGGCUGCAGCCUUCGGAGGCUGCAUUUGUAGACCGAUUACGUCACAGCAGCCGUGACAGGGCUGUCGCAUUUUGGAGACUCCUUAAAAUGCAGCAGACAUAUGCGGCCUUCUUUUCCCGGAUUUGGAGGAUACAUCUGAUGGAUUCUUCACGGCCGCACGUAUCCUAAGAUUCAUUGCGCGCCCAGAGAAGUUAUUUUCUGACAAAAAAUGUAGCCCCCUGAUCCAGCAGUAGCGGAAAGUGGAUAUACUUUUAAAUGUAAGUAUUGGGUUUCAACUCGCUCGAAUAGCUAAUGAUACAAAUGUUAUGAAACCAAAGGACCAUAAACCAUACAUUUUUCGCGGGGGGCGGGUCCUCCGUAGACCGCGAAAGCUGAACCGAGCGAUCUACGAAAUGAGAAAAAGCGCAAAGACAUAAUUGGAAACAAUACGAAUCAAUCUUUUCACACAAACCUGUACCAGUGCAAUAAUCUUCAAUAAGUCAGCAAUUGCAAGAGGAAAGGAAGAUCUGUUUUAAUAUUCUUAGAGGAAAUAGUUGUCUUCAUGUCAAAAGAAAAACCUUUCUGCAGUCAUAAAUCAGGGAAAUAAAAAAGUCGUAAAGCAGGUGGCACUGGAGCAGUUCAUCGCCGGUGAACUGGGUCCAGUUCCAUCAACCUGCCUGGGGGGCGAAGCCCGGGCCCCAGCUCCACAAGUCCGACCCAUUCCAGCCCCGGAGGUUCCGGACCGCAGCGAGUACUCUGUGGUGAACCUUAUAGUUUAAUUUAAGGGGGAACAAGGUAUCCUGAGGCAGUGCUGCUGUGUAACAUCUCGGCAAAGAGUGUGGCGCAGGCACUGUUCCACGUUAUCUCCCGAGUUGGGAUCCCGAAAGAGAUCUUAA
rnacentral:lncRNA from 1 species